GAUGAAGAACGUAGCGAAAUGCGAUAAGUAAUGUGAAUUGCAGAAUUCAGUGAAUCUUCGAGUCUUUGAACGCACAUUGCGCCCCCUGGUAUUCCGGGGGGCAUGCCUGUCCGAGCGUCAUUGCUGCCCUCAAGCACGGCUUGUGUGUUGGGCCCCGCCCCCCGGCUCCCGGGGGGCGGGCCCGAAAGGCAGCGGCGGCACCGCGUCCGGUCCUCGAGCGUAUGGGGCUUCGUCACCCGCUCCGUAGGCCCGGCCGGCGCCCGCCGGCGACCCCCCUCAAUCUUUUCAGGUUGACCUCGGAUCAGGUAGGGAUACCCGCUGAACUUAAGCAUAUCAUAAGCGGAGGA
rnacentral:misc_RNA from 1 species